CAGAUGGCUUUUCCUUUUACCUGGGGCAGUUCAGAUGGAAGAAAAAAACAUCCAGUCUAAAGUUGAUGAGGCAACAGGAAAUUUUUUGUGUUCUCCACUGCAAGUAGGUUGAGCUGGUACCACCAGGUCACACAGCCCUUACUUUGGAGCCAAUGAAACUGGAUUCAAGCCCUGGACUGUGCAAAAACCGAAAAGACUGUGUGGCAGACAAGGACCCUUUUGAGCCUGAUGUCUUUUUCACAGCUAUUCCCUGUUUUUACCUCCUGUCAAAGAUGCAGUACUAUGAAGAUAAUUUCUGAGUCUUGACUGCUUAUACACACAUUCACCUCCUGAAACAGUCACGUAGCUUCCAGAGAGGCAGUGAACACCAAGACCCUUUUCAGGAUAUGUGUAGGAAAUGUUGAAACAACAUAAUUUCUGUUGUUUAUAAAACACUGUGGAUUUAAUGACUUGUUUAAUAACAAGACAGGUCCAAUGCAGGAUUUUAGAGGCAGACAUCUCUAAAGAUAUGGUUUUCCGAAUAGCAGGUCAGAAACUGAUCCUCUGAGGAAAUCCAGUGUAGAAAUUUCACUGCGUGUCAAUAUCCAAUUUCAUUUUGGAGUUGUCUAUCAUUUGUCUGCACCAAAAAACCUUUAACAAAAGUGGAGCACUAGCUAGUAUUUUAUGUAACUGCUCUAAAAUAUUUCUAGAUUUCUACAUCUGAUGAUAAAGAGAUGCUUUCAAUGUAAACAGAGUGAGGUCAGAAAUCAAAUAUUCAUCACAAUUUCUUCAGCUUAUUUAGUUUACAAAUUUAACAUGAAUUUGGGUCAAUCAGGUUCACUGUUUCUCUUUAAUGGCCACUUAGAAAUUUAAUAGAUUUGAUCUAGAAAUGGGACAAAAAAUUUAAUCAAAAGAGAUGAGCAACACACACACAAAGAAAUGCUUGUUUUAAGAGUAGUGUCCUGGCCACAGCUGUGGACUUGCUUGCAGGAACUGAAGUGCUGGUCAGCCUGAAGCGCUGAUUUCCUAAAACACAGAUUAGUGGCUCACAGUAAUUUUUCGGCCUUAAAAUCAAUUAACCAGGUCUUCUGCAAAUGGAGAACAGUUUGGUAAGAAGUGGCACGGGGGAGGUGGGAGAAGAAGAGAGAAAAGUGUUUGCAAAAACACAGAUACUGAUGAGAGGACACGGGGCACCUGGUACAGUUUUUGUGAUCCAGUUCCUGUCGCAGUUUUCCUUGAUGACUUUGGAAAGUUUUGUGGGUCAGUUCCUCUCUUCUGAAAACAGUGAUAAAAGGCCUGCCUUAGAGGAGUGGCAUGUGGAUGAACCAGCCCAGAGCAGGACAGGAAUUCCCCUUGUUUGCAGAUCCUCUUGGGCAGUGUUGGUGACUACGCUGUCUGUGGCUUUCUGAUCCGAGGGCUUUGUGGCCAAGAGACAAGCAUUGUGUUUGUUGCAUGAAGCACUUUUUCGUUAUGGAAGGGAGAUGCCUUACCUGCAUCUGCAACUGCAAGUUGGAAUCUUAGCUCACAGGUUUAAGGUUUGACACCAUAAGAUGCUGAGCACAAUCCAGCAAUUGCUCCUUGCUUCAGCACAUGGCAAUGUUGGUUACGUUGACCUUUUAAAGGCGGUCUCCUACCACGAUGCAGUCUCAAGAUGCGUCUGUAAAGACCAGAGACAGUGAUGUCAGUAGGGGUGUGCCUGCACCUUUGCAUUGCCGCCUCCCCUGCUCGUCGGGAAGAGCAGAAAGAGGAGGGCAGCCAGCUGCAGCAAAAGCUGCUCUCUCCCUGCAGCAGGACAGCGGGCUUCUCUCAGUUUUCAGGGUGCAGUACAAAGGCGGACAACUAUAUCUUGCUUUCUCCCAGCCUACCAGAAGACUAUAUGGUAAAUGCCCAGCUGAUGUGCCAGAGUGCCUCCUGAGUUCACUUCAGAGUGCUUCUGUUCAAAAUGCAGUAAAUCAUCAUAUCCCAGUCUGCCUGCAGACCACACAGUGAAUUAAGAAUGCUCCUCAUGUAAUACUGACUUGAUCUCAUCUUACACAUACCCCAAAGCAAUAGCAAGGGGAAAAUGCUGUGAAGCAUUUUUUUCCUUUGUUAGUGCCCUCAGGGCUCAAUCUGAACUUUGUAAGAGACAAAAAAGAAUAGCUGGGAAAAAUGGUGAAUUUCUGCACGCCAUAAGGACUGGAGGAGCUUAUGUUGUCAUCUGCUUCUGUUGUGAGGGGGUGUCCAGAUGUGACAGUGAGCAGGGCUUUUUUAGCCACACUCAAGGCAAAUGUGACCCAUAUUGCAUCUCUUUAAACAACCACCUUCCACUUUUCUCUUACCUUUGUUCCAGAAGGCAGGAAGAUACCACCUCUGUUGAAGAUUUUUUUUUUUUUAAGUGCACUUCUUCGGCUGCUAAUAAAUUUAAUAAAUUGUUUGGUGA